GCGACCGUGACCCUGCUGGAGUGCGGGGGGGACCUCCAGCCCCCCGGGGGUUCCCUGACUCUACUCUGCCUCGGGUCUGGGUUCAAUUUCGGGCGUUCCUCCUUAGUCUGGGCCCGCCAGAGCCCCGGGAAGGCGCUGGAAUACGUGACAGGGAUUGACUAUGACGGAGACACCCGGUACGCGCCGUCGGUCAAGGGCCGGUUCACGAUCUCCAGGGACAACGGGCAGAGCUCGGUGACGCUGACCGUGAACAGCCUCAAGGACGAGGAUUCCGCCGUUUAUUUCUGCGCCAAAAACAGCGCUGGUGGUUAUGCUGCUUGGGCUGGUAAUGUUGAUGAUUUUGGCCCCAUCCCUGUCACGGCAUCCCCAUCGUUCCCCAUUUGUCGCCAGACCUUUUCCUCACACCCCAAACCUUGA